rnacentral:rRNA from 1 species
UACGGAGGGUGCAAGCGUUAUCCGGAUUCACUGGGUUUAAAGGGUGCGUAGGCGGAUAGGUAAGUCCGUGGUGAAAUCCUGCAGCUUAACUGCAGAACUGCCGUGGAUACUAUCUAUCUUGAAUGUCGUGGAGGUUAGCAGAAUAUGUCAUGUAGCGGUGAAAUGCUUAGAUAUGACAUAGAACACCCAUUGCGAAGGCAGCUAACUACGCGAUAAUUGACGCUGAGGCACGAAAGCGUGGGGAGCAAACAGG